rnacentral:rRNA from 1 species
UACGUAGGGUGCGAGCGUUGCCCGGAUUUAUUGGGCGUAAAGGGCGCGCAGGCGGCGCCGCAAGUCGUGCGUGAAAUCUCCCGGCUCAACUGGGAGGGGUCGUGCGAGACUGCGGCGCUGGAGCGAGGUAGGGGGAAGCGGAAUUCCCGGUGUAGUGGUGGAAUGCGUAGAUAUCGGGAGGAACACCAGUGGCGAAGGCGGCUUCCUGGACCUGUGCUGACGCUGAGGCGCGAAAGCGUGGGGAGCGAUCCGG